rnacentral:lncRNA from 1 species
UCAGUUCCAGAUCCAUCAGUUUUGAAGUUUCCAUUCCUGCCCCAUGCGUUAUCCACAGUAUUUAAGAUAUGGAUGCAGAAAGUGAGUACUGCCAUCCCAAGUAAUUGAAAACAAAAAAAUAAGUGGAAAUCCAUGGAAAGGAGCCGUGGAAUUUGGACUGUUAAGGCAUAGGUGUGACACAAGUAACUGGAGGGAGUGGAAGUUGUCCUGUUGGACCAGGAGAAGAUUUCCAGUGUCUGAUCCCCGGGAGCUGCAAUCAGCUGAGGUUUCUGCUUGCCACACGUCCCUGAAUGUGACAAGGAGAGAGGGUUUCACUCUCAGCUGGCGAGGAGCCCUCUGCACACCCAGACUGUGGUGCAUGGUCAGGAGGUCAUUUCUGCCCACACAGUGGCCCAGCGCUGUCCCAGCAUGGAGCACUGAGGGCUGCUGCAGAUGUACUGCACUCACAGGCAGGUUUCCUUUGGAUGGAAAAUGA